CCAACGUGUAGUUGCAAUUCAGUUUUUCUGCUGUUCCAUUGUUUUCCUGUUAAAAUUGAUGUGUUUCCAGCGGUAUUGGAUUGUGAUCCGUAUUUGUUUGUCGCUGAAUCGAUUUAUGACUAUUGAACAGCGGUAUAAUACUGUUGCCUGUAUUUACUGACCCCGUUUAUGUCGGAAAGGUUCACUUAACGAUAUGUGACGAAUUUAUCUUACCGAUUAUCUUAAUAUGGACAGUUUAGACGUAGUUGACAAUUUUGAUAUCACAAUUUUAACACAGCAUUAAACAGAACAUGAAUAAAAUUCACCGAGACAUGUCGUAUUCUCGGUGCAGGAGUAUAAUCUAUA
rnacentral:lncRNA from 1 species